UCGAGGAUCAUUCGCAAUGGGCGAAAGCCUGACGAUGCGACGCCGUGUGAACGAAGAAGGCCUUCGGGUUGUAAAGUUCUUUCGCUUGGGAACAAGAGACAUAGACAAAUAGUCUGUGAAUUUGAUUGUACUAGGUAAAGAAGCACCGGCUAACUCCGUGCCAGCAGCUGCGGUAAUACGGAGGGUGCAAGCAUUAAUCGGAUUUACUGGGCGUAAAGGGCGCGUAGGCGGAAUGGUAAGUCAACUGUGAAAUUUUGGGGCUUAACCUCAAAACAGCAGGUGAAACUACCUAACUUGAGUAUAGAUGGGGAAAAUGGAAUUCCACGUGUAGCGGUGAAAUGCGUAGAUAUGUGGAAGAACACCAGUGGCGAAAGCGGUUUUCUAAUCUAUAACUGACGCUGAGGCGCGAAAGCGAGGGGAGCAAACA
rnacentral:rRNA from 1 species